GGGGCUGUAGCUCAGUGGCAGAGCGCUUGCCUAGUACACGUAAGGCACUGGGUUCAAUCCUCAGCACCA
rnacentral:tRNA from 1 species